rnacentral:tRNA from 1 species
UGCGGGGUAGAGCAGAGGCAGCUCGUCAGGCUCAUAACCUGAAGGUCGUUGGUUCGAAUCCAACCCCCGCUA